UACGUAGGGGGCUAGCGUUGUCCGGAAUCAUUGGGCGUAAAGCGCGUGUAGGCGGUUCGGUAAGUCCGCUGUGAAAGUCGGGGGCUCAACCCUCGGAUGCCGGUGGAUACUGUCGGACUAGAGUACGGAAGAGGCGAGUGGAAUUCCUGGUGUAGCGGUGAAAUGCGCAGAUAUCAGGAGGAACACCGAUGGCGAAGGCAGGUCUCUGGGCCACUACUGACGCUGAGAAGCGAAAGCAUGGGGAGCGAACAGG
rnacentral:rRNA from 1 species